rnacentral:rRNA from 1 species
GACGAACGCUGGCGGCGUGCUUAACACAUGCAAGUCGAGCGGAAAGGCCCUUCGGUGUACUCGAGCGGCGAACGGGUGAGUAACACGUGAGUAACCUGCCCCAGACUUUGGGAUAACCCUCGGAAACGGGGGCUAAUACCGGAUACGACACAGCUUCGCAUGGGGUCUGUGUGGAAAGUUUUUCGGUUUGGGAUGGGCUCGCGGCCUAUCAGCUUGUUGGUUGGGUGAUGGCCUACCAAGGCGACGACGGGUAGCCGGCCUGAGAGGGCGACCGGCCACAAGGGGACUGAGAGACGGCACAGACGGCAACGGGAGGCAGCAGUGGGGAAUAUUGCACAAUGGGCGGAAGGCUGAUGCAGAGAAGAAGGGAGAGGGAUGACGGCCUUCGGGUUGUAAAACUCAUUAAGCAGGGACGAAGCGUAAGUGACGGUACCUGAAGAAGAAGAGCCGGCCAACUACGUG